UACGAGUACCCCAAGCGUUAUCCGGAAUCAUUGGGCGUAAAGGGUGUGUAGGUGGUUUUAUUAGUCUCCUGUUAAAACCUUGGGCUCAACCCAGGGACUGCAGGGGAAACGGUAAGACUCGAGGAUGCGAGAGGUGAAUGGAACUCAUGGAGUAGGGGUGAAAUCCGUUGAUAUCAUGGGGAACACCAAAAGCGAAGGCAAUUCACUGGCGUAUUCCUGACACUGAAACACGAAAGCGUGGGUAGCGAACGGG
rnacentral:rRNA from 1 species